GAUGAACGCUGGCGGCGUGCCUAAUACAUGCAAGUCGAGCGAACGGACGAGAAGCUUGCUUCUCUGAUGUUAGCGGCGGACGGGUGAGUAACACGUGGAUAACCUACCUAUAAGACUGGGAUAACUUCGGGAAACCGUAGCUAAUACCGGAUAAUAUUUUGAACCGCAUGGUUCAAAAGUGAAAGACGGUCUUGCUGUCACUUAUAGAUGGAUCCGCGCUGCAUUAGCUAGUUGGUAAGGUAACGGCUUACCAAGGCAACGAUGCAUAGCCGACCUGAGAGAGUGAUCGGCCACACUGGAACUGAGACACGGUCCAGACUCCUACGGGAGGCAGCAGUAGGGAAUCUUCCGCAAAGGGCGAAAGCCUGACGGAGCAACGCCGCGUGAGUGAUGAAGGUCUUCGGAUCGUAAAACUCUGUUAUUAGGGAAGAACAUAUGUGCAAGUAACUGUGCACAUCUUGACGGUACCUAAUCAGAAAGCCACGGCUAACUACGUG
rnacentral:rRNA from 1 species